UGUGAACUCGAAGAGUAGGGCGGGACACGUGGUAUCCUGUCUGAAUAUGGGGGGACCAUCCUCCAAGGCUAAAUACUCCUGACUGACCGAUAGUGAACCAGUACCGUGAGGGAAAGGCGAAAAGAACCCCGGCGAGGGGAGUGAAAAAGAACCUGAAACCGUGUACGUACAAGCAGUAGGAGCCCACUGGUUGGGUGACUGCGUACCUUUUGUAUAAUGGGUCAGCGACUUAUAUUCUGUAGCAAGGUUAACCGUAUAGGGGAGCCGCAGGGAAACCGAGUCUUAACUGGGCGUUAAGUUGCAGGGUAUAGACCCGAAACCCGGUGAUCUAGCCAUGGGCAGGUUGAAGGUUGGGUAACACUAACUGGAGGACCGAACCGACUAAUGUUGAAAAAUUAGCGGAUGACUUGUGGCUGGGGGUGAAAGGCCAAUCAAACCGGGAGAUAGCUGGUUCUCCCCGAAAGCUAUUUAGGUAGCGCCUCGUGAACUCAUCUUCGGGGGUAGAGCACUGUUUCGGCUAGGGGGUCAUCCCGACUUACCAACCCGAUGCAAACUACGAAUACCGAAGAAUGUUAUCACGGGAGACACACGGCGGGUGCUAACGUCCGUCGUGAAGAGGGAAACAACCCAGACCGCCAGCUAAGGUCCCAAAGUCAUGGUUAAGUGGGAAACGAUGUGGGAAGGCCCAGACAGCCAGGAUGUUGGCUUAGAAGCAGCCAUCAUUUAAAGAAAGCGUAAUAGCUCACUGGUCGAGUCGGCCUGCGCGGAAGAUGUAACGGGGCUAAACCAUGCACCGAAGCUGCGGCAGCGACACUAUGUGUUGUUGGGUAGGGGAGCGUUCUGUAAGCCGUUGAAGGUGGCCUGUGAGGGUUGCUGGAGGUAUCAGAAGUGCGAAUGCUGACAUAAGUAACGAUAAUGCGGGUGAAAAACCCGCACGCCGGAAGACCAAGGGUUCCUGUCCAACGUUAAUCGGGGCAGGGUGAGUCGACCCCUAAGGCGAGGCCGAAAGGCGUAGUCGAUGGGAAACAGGUUAAUAUUCCUGUACUCGGUGUUACUGCGAAGGGGGGACGGAGAAGGCUAUGUUGGCCGGGCGACGGUUGUCCCGGUUUAAGCAUGUAGGCGGAUGUUCCAGGUAAAUCCGGA
rnacentral:rRNA from 1 species